rnacentral:tRNA from 1 species
GGGCCCGGGAGUGGUCUCCGUGGCCAGAUUUAGCACCCGGCUUCCGGGGUUCGAUUCCCCGCGGGUCCA